GUACUCUGGCAUGUUUUAAGCGACUCUGAAAGAAAGUAACUGUUUCAAAAUAUUGUAGUGAGAUCGUUGUGAAGUGACUGUGUCUAGUAUGUAGUGUUUGCUUGUGUGUAGGUAUGUAUGCUUAGGUAUAUGUUCCGGUGUAUGUUAGGGUAGUG